AGAGUUUGAUCAUGGCUCAGAACGAACGCUGGCGGCAUGCCUAACACAUGCAAGUCGAACGGGAUCCAGGCUUCGGCCUGGUGAGAGUGGCGGACGGGUGAGUAACGCGUGGGAACCUGCCCAAUGGUCUGGGAUAACCGCGGGAAACUGCGGCUAAUACCGGAUAAGCCCCCCUCGGUUAAACGGGGAGGGGAAAGAUUUAUCGCCGAUGGAGGGGCCCGCGUCAGAUUAGGUAGUUGGUGGGGUAAUGGCCUACCAAGCCUACGAUCUGUAGCUGGUCUGAGAGGAUGAUCAGCCACACUGGGACUGAGAUACGGCCCAGACUCCUACGGGAGGCAGCAGUGGGGAAUAUUGGACAAUGGGGGCAACCCUGAUCCAGCAAUGCCGCGUGAGUGAUGAAGGCCUUAGGGUUGUAAAGCUCUUUUGGCGGGGACGAUGAUGACGGUACCCGCAGAAUAAGCCCCGGCUAACUUCGUGCCAGCAGCCGCGGUAAUACGAAGGGGGCGAGCGUUGUUCGGAAUUACUGGGCGUAAAGGGCGCGUAGGCGGCCGAUCAAGUCAGAUGUGAAAGUCCUGGGCUUAACCUGGGGACUGCAUUUGAUACUGAUUGGCUUGAAUGCAGGAGAGGAUAGCGGAAUUCCCAGUGUAGAGGUGAAAUUCGUAGAUAUUGGGAAGAACACCGGUGGCGAAGGCGGCUAUCUGGACUGUGAUUGACGCUGAGGCGCGAAAGCGUGGGGAGCAAACAGGAUUAGAUACCCUAGUAGUCC
rnacentral:rRNA from 1 species